GGGACUCUCGAUAGAGGGAUUGUAUCACAUGAUAACUGCACCUAGGGGUUCACUUUUCUAUUCUACUAGGUUGCCACUAUACGUUGCUAGACGUCAUUGGUGGAUCGUGAGAACUCACUAAGAUCAUUUUUGGAUCAACGAUUUUUGUUGAGAUGAGUUGGAAUCGUUUCAGCCCAUCGAAAAGAGUUUCGAUGAUACUGUGAUGGAGAUCAUGG
rnacentral:lncRNA from 1 species